rnacentral:rRNA from 1 species
UGCGUAGGCGGUCCCGCAAGUCCGUUGUGAAAGCCCCGGGCUUAACCUGGGAAUGGCAGUGGAAACUAGGGGACUUGAAUCUGGCAGAGGGGGGUGGAAUGCCACGUGUAGCAGUGAAAUGCGUAGAGAUGUGGCGGAACACCGAUGGCGAAGGCAGCCCCCUGGGCUGAGAUUGACGCUCAGGCACGAAAGCGUGGGGAGCAAACAGGAUUAGAUACCCUGGUAGUCCUAGCCCUAAACGAUGAUUGCUUGGUGUGUCGGGUACCCAAUCCCGACGUGCCGGAGCUAACGCGAUAAGCAAUCCGCCUGGGGAGUACGGUCGCAAGGCUGAA